rnacentral:lncRNA from 1 species
GUUUGUUUGGUUUGUUGCGUUUGACAAUAAAGUUUCUUUUUCUACCCACUUCACCUUUUUUUUUCUGCUUUCCCCCCCUGCCCCUUCUCCUUUCUUCCUCUCUUUUUUCCCCCUCGUCUCCUUGCUGCAGGUUUUGCUCAGGAGUUGGCCACUCAGGAAUUCCUAGUGCCUGACUGAGCAGUAAUUUAGCAAGCUCUCUUGUGCUCUUUUCCUGUCAGCAUUAACAUGUCAAUUCAUUUUAAUAGUCUGGGCAUGCGCAGAGGGGAUGCAUUUUCUCAGUAGGUAUCCCAUGAGCCCACCCUGUGGUGCAGAAAUGUGUUAUAGCUUGUCUCAGGCCACAGAGACUUCAGCAGGUUUAUUUUCAUUAUGGCCAAGUGUAUUUGUAAAGACAAAGCAUGAACAAGGAAAAAGAGUAUAUACAACAAGACUUUAAAAUAUUAAAUGGGAUCUACGUGUCUGAUUGGUAAUUUAUCACCUAUGCACAGAAUAGGUUUUAAAACCCCUUUUUUGUUUGUUUGUUUGUUUUGCUUGAUAUUAUUACGUGGCAGUGCUGCCACUUCCUCUGUUUUUUUGGAAAUUAAAUGAUAUCAUGCCACAGUGGGAGUUAUCUAUAAUCAUGAUUUAUAGUUGAAUUGGUUCUUAUAUUAAACCAGAAUUUCCUUGCCAUCCUUCGUGUUAAAGAACCUUCAGAUGGAUUUGUAUCCAGUUUUUGGCCUCAAGUACCUAAAAGCAAGGACUGCCCAGUCCAUGGGCCAAUCCUUUGGUUACAGUACAACACUUCUACCUAAAAAUACUUGAAUCUUUAUAGGCUUUAAAAGCUAUGGGUAGAAAUUGUAGAUUUGUAAGAGGAUAAAACGACAGCAACAACAAAUAAUAGAAAGCAUGACACCUUAUGUCAUCUUAAAUGACAUUAUAUGACAUUUUUGCAGGUGCAGCCUAAAUUCAGCCAAGGUAUUUUGGUUGUUCACUACCUUCGCGUAAUUAAAUAUUGAAGCACGCUGAGCUGUGGUAUCAACAUCUGUAUGGUACAAAUACCUUUUCAGCCCAGCUGGACUCAGCUGCAUUAUCUGUGACCUGAAAAGGUAAGGCAGCUAUUUGUUUCUAAAGGAUCCUCUUUAUUUAAGGAAAAUGUGCUCUCAUGGUAGGUUCUGCUCUCCAGGGGUCCAUGAAAGCUGCAAUGUCCUUAAAUUGUGUGGGAAUGUGCCUGUGCUGGGACACAGUUACAGCUGAGUAGGUGGAGAAUUAUGUCAGGAAUCUGAAGUUUGGCAUGGGGAUUCCCUCUCAUUUGGACAUAAAAGGAAUGAUCUUAUUUCCUCCAAAAAGAAAGCUGUAAAGUACCUUGUCAAGAAACAGCAAAGGCUCCACUCAAUGGUGGUCAGUCAGUGCAUUUCCCAAAAGUGGCUGGCACAAAAUUGUAUGUCACAGCACUAUAGAAAAGCCAUGCAGGAACUAAUAGUACAGGACGCUUAAAAUUGGCCUCUUGUGAGCUGGUUGAAUGGCAAAAAAUACAGAGUUCAGAUAAAGAAAAUUCCAAGACUUACGACAACUACCACAAGGUAAAAUUAUAUCAGUAAGGAAAUGUGAAAAACUCUUUACUUGGUGAAAGCCUAUGGCAUCAUCAGUGGCAUCAUAGAAAUGCCCUAGGUUGUGAUGUAAAUGUGUGUCCAAACCACCUGCAGCCAGGGAACAUAGGCCCUAUGGCACUGUGGAGGGUCUCAAACACUCUGUGUUUGUGGCUGUUGGGUCUCCAAGAGGUCCAUCUCCAGGUGUAUUAAGGAAUUUGGAUAACAGCGAUACGUAGAUGGGGGCUGGUUGUUGUUGAUGCUUAGGGGUAAAAAUAUGGAGAGUUUAAAGCUUAUGUGUGACACCUGAGUCCCUGUCCCUGAGAGUCCCAUAACUGAAAAAAGAAGUGAUGUGGUCUUUUACCUUGUAGGAUAAAAUAUCAAUAGGUACAGAGAGAGUCAACAAGUCAGCAUAAGGUCUGUGCUGGCAUAUAUUUAGUGAAACAUUAAAACCAUCUGAGCACAUUUUCUUGUAUGUUUUCUAGGGCACAAUGUAUAUGAAGUGAGGUUGUCUAUGCGUGUAUGCAGUUAUGCCAUCCACAAAUUGAACUCAAUGGCCAAAUUCUGGCCAGGUUUGACUGAUGGUCAGAAGACACAAGUAUUUUCAGUAAAUAAUAAAUCAGGUAGAGAAGAGAAUUCUGAACUGACAUGCUUACAGAGCAGCAUUGUGAGCUUUUUCUUCUCAUCAUGUACCUGAGAGCCUACUUCUGGAAGCAGGAGGAAAGAGAGGGAAGAGAGUUGGUUUCUCUUGAGAAUUGCCCAACGGAAAUUAAAUUCAGGUUUCUGUUUGGCUUUUCUGAAGUCUAGUAAGUUAAGAAGCCAAACUUUGCUCUGUGUGGGAGUUUCCUACAAAUCGGAGUGCAGGGAAGGAUUCAUAGCCAGCUCUAGAUAAGAGUGAUAAGCAGAGGAUUAGGUUUGAGAGCUAAUUCCUGUGUGCUGUCUUUUCCCCAGAGAGACUAAGGGUUCAUGCAAGAGGUGCCUCCAUCUGUGCCAGACUUUGCAAACACACAUUUUCAUCCAACAAGUUUGGCUGCCAAGUUGCUCUACCUUAAGUCUCUUGCAAGUAGGUUCUGAACUGGAACUCAUGUUGGCUUCUGGCAAAAACAGGAAUGAAGAUGUAAGGCGUGUAAUGAUUUGGCUCCUGAGAGAAAAGGUGUGUGUGUGAGGAGAACAUUUUUCAGCCACACGACAAUUUCACCAUGUGGGAAAAAUGUCUGCUUAACUUUAAAGAGCAACUUGCAAAAUCUCACAGUGUGUGAGGAAGAUUGGUCAUAGCAAAAAAGCUACAGGGGAAGUGAACAGAGAAAGUCUGAGGCUUUAGGAGAAAAUGACAGGCAUAGCAAGGGAGCUGUUUAAAGGGAGGGGUGCAGGGGCAGAUAUGAACCUCUACAUUUCCCCACCUGCAAAAAGAGGCUGAAAGCUGCAGUGGAAUCUCACUGCCCAUGCAAGCAUCAUUUCCCAUGCACUGCAGAGCCAAGUGAGGAGAAAAGUAAUUGCCUUGGAUGGGAGGCACGAUAUGACAUGAAAUACAAGCACAUCUUUCGUAGAAUUUGUAAGCCAUAAAAGUAUUUUAAUAACAUCUGGUGCAGGGGCGUGUUGAAGCUUAAUUAAUUAAUCCUUGCAAAGGACUUGGAAAUUCUGGGAUCAAAGGUGUUGCAUUAGUGCAAAAUGCCAUUAUUAUACCUAUAAACGUGUGCUUGUUAACUUAAAUGCUAUUUAUUUAUUGCCGCUAUAUACUUGUAUGGCAGUAUAUAUCAAGUAUAUUACAAACAUUUUAAAAGUACACUUUUUCAUUGCAUAAAGCUGUCCCUGUUCAGGUGCUGCUGCUAAUGCCAAGCAGGAGCCCCUAAUUGACUCCAAGAAAGCCUCUGUCUCUGGGGUAUGUGUGUGUGGUGUAUCCCACUCUGUGAUAUUACUAUGGAUGCUGCACAAGAGGCAAAGAUUAUGCCCAUAGCUAUGACUGAAGGCUGAAAAAUGCACAUCAAGGUUUGUAGGGUAGGGUAGGUGGGUCUGCUCAGUGUGUGUUUGGACUGGAUGGAUGGAAUUGAGGUCUGCCAUCUGCCUGCAGUCUUAUUUUUGGUGCUUGUUUGUGUAUUCGUUGCUUUGUAGCCGGUUAUAAAUAAUAGAAAUCCUAAGCAGUGCUCUGUUCCCACUAAUUCAGAAUUUAGUGUCGCAGGUUGUUUACAAAUCAAAGGAGCAAAGCACAUGCAUCCUCAGCAGUCAGUUAGAAUGCAGCAUCUUUUUCUUUUCCUUGUAACGGAGCAUACAGUGAAAUUAUCCUUGCUCUAAGGCUUAUUUUAGCUUUUGUUCCAUGCUUGGCAUUGUGUCUUCCUGUAGUUAACUUGGGAUCUUCACCUGGCUUACAGAGGGAAAAGGAAGUUUAGAAGUGUAUUCUGCACCAUUAUUUAGGCUAAAUUUGUAAACCCUCUGCUUCUGACGACAGCGUCUUUGUAGAUCUUUUUAAAUAUGGAUGAAAUAUGAGUUUUUCUUUCAAGGUACAAAAUGUCAUUAAGGGCUCAGGUGGUUAAAAUCAACAUGAAAAAUACAUGCUGCAUUUUCCCUCCUUAAAUGCAAUAAUGUAAUCAGAUUUCAAGUCAUCUUACCUACCUCACUUACAGCUUUAUGGAGAUUAAUUAGUUUUUAGCCCCCAGUCACAUGAUCUUUUCUGACUGCCAUUUAGCUACAUUUGCUAUCUGACUUGAACCUGUAAGCUGUCUCCUGCCCCAGAGGACAGAUUAAAUUUUACUAUUGGUUGCCUCCUUCCUUUGAUUUAAAGGUAGAUAGUUAGAUUCUUAGUUCAAUUAUUCUUUGUUGUUAAUUAGCCGUGCACUGCUAUCAUUUCUUUGGAAAAAGAGGAGAAGAAAAAUGGCUCAAAAGUGGAAGACAACUUCUUUCCAGGGGCCGAGCUAAAUAGGGUUGUCCUGAUCAGGUGGAGAGCCAUAACAGAGCUUUUAAUCCACAUCUCUAUCACCUCCGGCUGCUUUGUGUUUGCUGGGCUUUUAUGGCUGCCGAUCAAUACGGUUACCUUUCAGUUCAGCAAAGCACAUGGGUCAGGCAGGAGGGGAGGGAGGAUUUCUGCAUCUCUAACUCACAGAGGUAUGAACUGGUGCAUGCCCAUCCACAUCUCUGGCACUCCGCCUUUGUUUUCCUAAUUUUCUCUUUAAAUUAACUUAAGCACUUACUCUAUAGCGUGAUUUUCUGUAAAGAAAAUGCUUUAUUCCUUGUUGAGAAUGAUUUCUAAGGCCAUUUAAUAUCUAAGUAAAUUCCAUUCUCUUCUCCUAAAUGUAUUAGGUGCAAUAAAUGUACAGUGGAUAAAGGAGUGUGUAGACAAAAUCCUGCCUUUAAGUCUGGGUAUCCUGUUUAUGUCAUUGCAAUACUCCUUUCUCAAGAAAGAAGAGCACAUUUUGGCCCAUACUGUGAAAAGACAAGAAGUAGAUAAGCUCCAGGGCAAAAAAAGGGAGAGGUGAUUUUUUUCCCCCUUUUCGGCUUGUGAUUAAAAACAAAGCAAAUUAUAAAGGGAUUUGACUAGUAUUGUUGUUCAGGAUGGUGCACUACUGGGCUCCUCAGGAGCAUAUAACAAAAGAUCAAAGGGUUCCUGUCUCCACACAACUAAAUCAGCUCUAGGACUAGGAGCACUGGUGGCCCCAUUUUUCCUUAGGUGAGAGCUGGGAGUGAGUUAAGCUAAUGAAAUUGUUAUCUAUUACACAUUAGAAAUGUAUCAGAGCCAAAGCCAUUGAGGCAUUUAUAUGGACGUUACAUGGGGAUGCCUGUUUGCCAUUUGUUUCCUAAAUUUUCUACGAUUUGCUCUGCAGCACACGCUCACCUUGGUUAAAUGGGGCUCGACUCAGCAAUAUUCAGCAGAGCUGCGGCGGUUCCUGGCUCCGGCCACCAAGGCUCCACAGGAUUUUCACUGCUCAGGUGUUGCAAAGCCUAAUCCUUAUUCAGGAACCAAAACGCUCCCCUCUCCUUGCCUGCGGUGCUUGGAUGCCUGCCUUUGGCAGUAGCCCCAGACUCCUGCAGAAGAUGAAGACAUCCCUCCAUGCCUAUAGAUGGAAAAGCGCCAACAUGGAUGCCAUCAGAAGGACGCAGCUGAGCAUAUGCUGAGAAAAUUGUGGCAUCCAUACUGUACAUGGGGAAGGGCUGACUGAACACACCAGUUUGUUGAAGCUUAUGGCCCUGAAAAGGAAACAUAGGUUUCCUGUAAAUGUCAUUCAGGGAUAUGCUAACUGUUAUUUCCUGGCACUGGAUCAUGAUGCUUUCAACACAUUCUGUUCCUCUACCUCUGCUGCUACCUCUGCUGCCUGCCUGCCUGGUUGUGCGCAGUGAUAGCUCUCCUGUCUUCUCACCUUUCCUCCUCCCCGCGCCAGGCAAAGGUAUUCUGGUUGGGAGGGCCAAUGUCAGCGAGCGAGAUGACAGACGGAGAGAUGAAAUCUCAGCCCUGCACUCAGCCUGGCUGCUGCCUGUACCUGGGCCUUGCUGCACCAUCCCUUGAACGCAAAGCAAUUCAAGGAAAAGAGUAACUUCUGUUACAUUAGAAAUCACGCAUUUCUGACCCAGAAAGAGAGGAAUUUCACAGUCUCUCAGGACAUGUGCUUGAAGGGAGGAUUUCUGGAGCCUAAACCAGAGGAGCCCAGGAGCUGCUGGUGUGAAGGCUCACCGCAAGCACCUGCUGCUUCUGGAGGAGUUCCUGUGGCAAUGCAUGUGCUCAGGAUGAAUAGGUACAGCUGUCCAGUUCUAGUAGAUAUUUUUCCCUCUGGUUUAUACAUAUUUGAAAAGCUACACAUGAAUAAACACAUAAAUUAAUGCUAGAUGUACUUCUUAUCCAUGCAAGUGUGAGCUGUAUGUAUAUAGAUACACAUACAAAUAUGGGCAUAGUUAUCAGCCUUGGUAUCCUACUUGUUAAGGUAAUUGUGUCAUUUAAAUUCUGUCAUACUUGGUUCAAGACAGAUUCAUUAACUGGUCCUAUUUAUUACUCCAGGAUCUGAGCACCUGUUUCUUAGAGGUAAAACCAGAAUAAAUCUCCUAAUUUCCCAGGUUCUUUUACAUUUUUGCUUCGAAAUAAUGAGACGCUUAUAUUCAAAGAAAAAAAAAAUGAAAUAUCUGAUGCUGAAAAAUACAAUCAAGUUAAUUUUUUAGGUAUACCGAGGUGAAAUUAUUGCAUUUGUUUGUCUGUGUAGAUAGUUUUCUUUGUGCUGGCGUAAGACCUGAUGCUGGCCAUAUUCUGUGAACACAGUUAUUAUCAUAUUUAGUAUCUUAAAUGUGUACGUACAUAAUUGCUUUAUAUGUGUUUGUGCUUCCAACAUAUCAGACUGGCUAAGAGAGAGCACCCAUAGCAGUAUCAAAUUGCUUAUUGCUCUCUCCACAGUCAACUAGAGCACAAGGAGGAGAGGAAGGAACAACAGAAGCUCUGACUAACAAUUUCUCUCUCUCUCCCUAUUUAUUUAGGAAUCCAAGUUAACAGAAGGAAGAAACAACUCUUUUGUAGUAAUGCUCUGUAGGGCAUUAUCACAGCUAAUCUUAUGGUGGUAUGUUUUAGUCCAAAAAUGUUACUGCUCAGGUCCAUGCUACACCAUUUGUCAGUUGUUUACACCCUACAUAUGGAUUAGCACUGUAUGCCAGCCAUGAAAACCUGUUCUGCUCUUAACCCACCUGCAUGAAGCGCUGAAGCAGCUCACUGCAUCUGAUAUUUAGCUUUACUUCCUUAAGAUGUUGGACCACAAGAAGCAGGCACAGGUACAGGUAACUUGGUAGUGUAAUAAACUCUCCCCAUG